rnacentral:rRNA from 1 species
GUGGGGAAUAUUGGACAAUGGGCGAAAGCCUGAUCCAGCCAUGCCGCGUGUGUGAAGAAGGUCUUCGGAUUGUAAAGCACUUUAAGUUGGGAGGAAGGGUAGUAACCUAAUACGUUGCUACUUUGACGUUACCGACAGAAUAAGCACCGGCUAACUUCGUGCCAGCAGCCGCGGUAAUACGAAGGGUGCAAGCGUUAAUCGGACUUACUGGGCGUAAAGCGCGCGUAGGUGGUUCAGUAAGUUGGAAGUGAAAUCCCCGGGCUCAACCUGGGAACUGCUUUCAAAACUGCUGAGCUAGAGUACGGUAGAGGGUGGUGGAAUUUCCUGUGUAGCGGUGAAAUGCGUAGAUAUAGGAAGGAACACCAGUGGCGAAGGCGACCACCUGGACUGAUACUGACACUGAGGUGCGAAAGCGUGGGGAGCAAACAGGAUUAGAUACCCGAGUAGUCC